rnacentral:rRNA from 1 species
AGCGAACGCUGGCGGCAGGCCUAACACAUGCAAGUCGAACGGAUCCUUCGGGAUUAGUGGCGGACGGGUGAGUAACACGUGGGAACGUGCCCUUUGGUUCGGAACAACUCAGGGAAACUUGAGCUAAUACCGGAUGUGCCCUUCGGGGGAAAGAUUUAUCGCCAUUGGAGCGGCCCGCGUCUGAUUAGCUAGUUGGUGAGGUAAAGGCUCACCAAGGCGACGAUCAGUAGCUGGUCUGAGAGAAUGAUCAGCCACAUUGGGACUGAGACAAGGCCCAAACUCCUACGGGAGGCAGCAGUGGGGAAUCUUGCGCAAUGGGCGAAAGCCUGACGCAGCCAUGCCGCGUGAAUGAUGAAGGUCUUAGGAUUGUAAAAUUCUUUCACCGGGGACGAUAAUGACGGUACCCGGAGAAGAAGCCCCGGCUAACUUCGUGCCAGCAGCCGCCGUAACAC